rnacentral:rRNA from 1 species
GUAGGUGGCAAGCGUUGUCCGGAUUUAUUGGGUUUAAAGGGUGCGUAGGCGGUUCUGUAAGUCAGUGGUGAAAUCCGGCAGCUCAACUGUCGAUGUGCCAUUGAUACUGCAGAACUUGAGUACAGACGAGGUAGGCGGAAUUGACGGUGUAGCGGUGAAAUGCUUAGAUAUCGUCAAGAACACCGAUAGCGAAGGCAGCUUACUAGACUGUAACUGACGCUGAUGCACGAAAGUGUGGGGAUCAAACAGGAUUAGAUACCCUGGUAGUCCACACUGUAAACGAUGAUUACUCGAUGUUAGCGAUACACAGUUAGCGUCUUAGCGAAAGCGAUAAGUAAUCCACCUGGGGAGUACGCCGGCAACGGUG